rnacentral:rRNA from 1 species
AGCUGUUCUGAGAGGAUGAUCAGCCACACUGGAACUGAGACACGGUCCAGACUCCUACGGGAGGCAGCAGUGGGGAAUAUUGCACAAUGGGGGAAACCCUGAUGCAGCCAUGCCGCGUGUGUGAAGAAGGCCCUAGGGUUGUAAAGCACUUUCAGUCAGGAGGAAAGGUUAAUAGUUAAUACCUAUUAGCUGUGACGUUACUGACAGAAGAAGGACCGGCUAACUCCGUGCCAGCAGCCGCGGUAAUACGGAGGGUCCGAGCGUUAAUCG